rnacentral:rRNA from 1 species
UACGAAGGGGGCUAGCGUUGUUCGGAAUUACUGGGCGUAAAGCGCACGUAGGCGGAUAUUUAAGUCAGGGGUGAAAUCCCAGAGCUCAACUCUGGAACUGCCUUUGAUACUGGGUGUCUUGAAUAUGGAAGAGGUGAGUGGAAUUCCGAGUGUAGAGGUGAAAUUCGUAGAUAUUCGGAGGAACACCAGUGGCGAAGGCGGCUCACUGGUCCGUUACUGACGCUGAGGUGCGAAAGCGUGGGGAGCAAACAGG